rnacentral:rRNA from 1 species
UCGGAACUGCUUGGAUAGAGCACGUCAGAGGUCAUUGGAACUCACGGUGUAGGGGUAAAAUCCGUUGAUAUCGUGGGGAACACCAAAGGCGAAGGCAUUUGACUGGGGCGUUGCUGACCCUGAGGGACGAAAGCUAGGGUAGCGAAUGGGAUUAGAUACCCCAGUAGUCCUAGCUGUAAACGAUGAGUGCUAGAUAUUGGAAGAUUCGACCCUUCCAGUGUCGCAGCUAACGCGUUAAGCACUCCGCCUGGGAAGUACGGCCGCAAGGCUAAAACUCAAAGGAAUAGACGGGGAUCCGCACAAGCGGUGGAGCGUCUGGUUUAAUUCGACAGUAAGCGGGGAAUCUCACCAAGGCUUGACAUCCUCUGACAUCCCUGGAAACAGGGUUUCUCCGAGCAAUCGGAGCAGAGUGACAGGUGCUGCAUGGUUGUCGUCAGCUCGU